AUUAGAUACCCUGGUAGUCCACGCUGUAAACGAUGAUUACUAGGUGUGGGGGGGGCUGACCCCUUUCCGUGCCGCAGUUAACACAAUAAGUAAUCCACCUGGGGAGUACGGCCGCAAGGUUGAAACUCAAAGGAAUUGACGGGGGCCCGCACAAGCAGUGGAGUAUGUGGUUUAAUUCGAAGCAACGCGAAGAACCUUACCGGGUCUUGACAUCCUGGGAAUCCUUAAGAGAUUAGGGAGUGCCCUUCGGGGAACCCAGAGACAGGUGGUGCAUGGUUGUCGUCAGCUCGUGUCGUGAGAUGUUGGGUUAAGUCCCGCAACGAGCGCAACCCUUAUCAUUAGUUGCUACGCAAGGGCACUCUAGAGAGACUGCCGGGGGCAACCCGGAGGAAGGCGGGGAUGACGUCAAAUCAUCAUGCCCCUUAUGGCCAGGGCUACACACGUGCUACAAUGGCGCAAACAGAGGGAAGCGGAGCGGUGACGGCGAGCGAAUCCCAAAAAGUGCGUCCCAGUUCGGAUUGUAGUCUGCAACUCGACUACAUGAAGCCGGAAUCGCUAGUAAUCGCGGAUCAGAAUGCCGCGGUGAAUACGUUCCCGGGUCUUGUACACACCGCCCGUCACACCAUGGGAGCCGGAAAUGCCCGAAGUCAGUGACCCAACCAAUAAGGAGGGAGCUGCCGAAGGCAGGUCUGGUGACUGGGGUGAAGUCGUAACAAGGUACC
rnacentral:rRNA from 1 species